rnacentral:rRNA from 1 species
GUGUUCAUGUGAAAGACGGCUUUUGCUGUCACUUUUGGAUGGGCCUGCGGCGUAUUAACUUGUUGGUGGGGUAACGGCCUACCAAGGUGAUGAUACGUAGCCGAACCGAGAGGUUGAUCGGCCACAUUGGGACUGAGACACGGCCCAAACUCCUACGGGAGGCAGCAGUAGGGAAUCUUCCACAAUGGACGAAAGUCUGAUGGAGCAACGCCGCGUGAAUGAAGAAGGCCUUCGGGUCGUAAAAUUCUGUUGUCAGAGAAGAACGUGCGUGAGAGUAACUGUUCACGUAUUGACGGUAUCUGACCAGAAAGCCACGGCUAACUACGUGCCAGCAGCCGCGGUAAUACGUAGGUGGCGAGCGUUGUCCGGAUUUAUUGGGCGUAAAGGGAACGCAGGCGGUCUUUUAAGUCUGAUGUGAAAGCCUUCGGCUUAACCGAAGUAGUGCAUUGGAAACUGGAAGACUUGAGUGCAGAAGAGGAGAGUGGAACUCCAUGUGUAGCGGUGAAAUGCGUAGAUAUAUGGAAGAACACCAGUGGCGAAAGCGGCUCUCUGGUCUGUAACUGACGCUGAGGUUCGAAAGCGUGGGUAGCAAACAGGAUUAGAUACCCUGGUAGUCCACGCCGUAAACGAUGAGUGCUAAGUGUUGGAGGGUUUCCGCCCUU